AUAGGUGGAGAAUGUUAAGGUAGUAGAGCUAGGGUUUAUGGUAGGUUCUAUAUCUGUAUCCAGUGUGGGAUUACAUAGUUAACAAAUAGAAUCGAUUAAUUGGGGUAGCUAAGUGGUCAGUGGUAGACUCUCAGCUCAUAGACUCUGUGGUUGUGGGUUCGAUUCCUACUGUGGCCCCUGGCCCUUUUUUCCUACAACCCUCCCCCCCAAACUAUAUAUGAUGAAAUAAUCCUCAAAAUGUACUCUUGGUAAUAUGCUAGUUUGCUAGGCCUUUAAAAAAAUUAGACUUUUUUCAAUGACCAUUCCAUUUUCUAAAGGUCAUCAGCUGUAUGUGGAUUUUAUUUGUGUAUUAAUUUUGUAUCUUUCAAGCCCAUAUCCCUCAAACUUUUUUUGCACUACUUCAACAUACGCAAGGUCAAAAACCGAUUUGUGAUUUCUGAGAUGGCAAGGAGGUACAUAAAAUUGGAGUUUACCAAGGAUUUCUGGGGAAUCUAUACAGUUAUUAAUUAAUUUGAAAAUAAAAAUAAUCUCAAAAUACUUUCUUCUGCAGCUAAGAUGAGAAAUAUUGAUGUCAGAUUUAAUGGGUGCAUGAGAGGAAUUGUCGUUUUUAUGUAGUGUGGAUGAUUGAGGCACAUUCAACAAUAGGUUGAACAAGUAAAUUAUAUAGAUAGACAAAGCAAGAAGGAUUUUUGAACUGAUAGAUACUUUGGAUUAUGAAGCCAAGCAUUUUAAAGGAGCGAUUUUUGAUUUCUUGUAAAUAUAGCUUAAAGGCUUGUUGAGGCCCAAAAGGGCAAGGAAGGACCUUUUUUUCAACAUUGAAGGCACUUAUUUUUAAUUGUUAAUGGC